rnacentral:lncRNA from 1 species
UGUAAUGCCACUAUUGAAAGAGCUAAAACCAUUAUUCCAUCAUUUAGCGCUAGUCACUAAGUUGUUUUUAUUGAAAAUUUAAAAAGUUGGCAAAUUAUUGCUAAUAGAAAAGGCCACUAUUCAUGAACAGCGGAGCAUGAUAUUUAGGCUUCACAUUUUUCUCAAAGUUGGUUAACGCAUUUCAAAGUUUGGCACGAAAGUUUUCCUUUGCAUUUAAUGCAAACAUCAUGCAUAGUCUUUUCUCAAAUUUCAGACAGGAUUAUGAAUGACAUUAAAUUUGCUGAAUGAAUGCGCAUGCAAUUGGAGCAAAUCGUCAAAAUGGAGAAUGAUUACAUCUCGUAGCUAUUUUCAACAAAUAGAAUGUCUAGAAUGAAAUAAAGAUGUGAAGUGUUACACCUACUUAUUUAUAGUCAAAGUCAAGCAAUUCAAUUGGUCAAAAUUAAGCAAAAAUAAGGAUUUAAGUUGAAUAAAUAAUUUUUAUGGGACUUAAAUUGCAAUUACAAAUACUUGAGGGCUAAAAAUGAUAGAAUAAUGGAAACUAGUGAUUGAGUUUCUAUUAUUGAAAAUUUAAAGACUAAAUAUUAUGUUUUAUAAAGAUUGGUGACUUGACUUGCAAUUAUUCAAUAGUUAUACACUAAACCUUAUACAUAUCUAUCCAUUUUCUCAUUUUCGGGGGAAAAAACAGAAAGCAGAGAACGAAACCAUAUAGAAGAUGAAGAAGAAGAAGAAGAAGAAGUGGGCUUUUUAAGCUUGAUGUUUUCAUUUCUCUAUUCUUCUUAUUUUCAAGAGGUAAGUAAAAUGUAUGUUACUUGAAUUUUUCAAAGUUUAUGGAAAAUUUGCUUUAAUUCAAAGUUUAGCAAAAAUUAGGUAUCAUUGAUAUAUAUUUGAGAUUGUAAUUAGGAAUAUAGUUAGUGUUGAAGAAAGUGGAAUUUUGAAUGGGUUUUUUAGAUAAAGACUUAAAUUAAGGAUUUGAGUUAUGAUUUCUCCAUUUUAAAAUAUUUUCGAGUGAGAUAAUACACUGGUUUUACCCUUCAACUUCUGCCAGAAAAGUGUUAUUUCUGUCAAUGAUUUUUGUGACAAUUUUUCCAUAUACAGAAACAGAUGCCGAAUUUCAAUACUAUAAUAUUUUAGUACUAUUUUUGUCAAACCUUCAUUUUCUCCGAUUUUUUUAUAUUUGAAUGAAUUAUUUAAAUCUAGGUAUUGGAUUAAAUUAUCUAUAGGGUUUAGGUUAUAUAACAUAGUGAUUUUAAGAAAGUGCUGAGUAAUCUAAGGGAUUUGAUUAUGCAGAGUGAUUGGUUGCUGAUGAUAAAAAAGAAGAUAAAUUAGGAAAAUAGAGAUGCAAGAAUAAAUAUAAAAGUUGAGGAACUAGACAGUGGAUUUGCAUUAAUUUAAUUGCCAUGUUUUAAUUUGAGUAAUUAUAACAUUAUUUUAGGCAGUGGUGUGAAAACUUGGAAAGUCUCUUCAAUUUAACUAGAUGCUUAUCCUAGAUUCGUGAGUGAAAAAACUUAAAAAAAUAUUGAUAAAGUGCUUACACUAUUAUAUUACGUGCAAGUAUGUGAAUUAUUUGUUCAAUUACAUGAUUAAUGUAGAAAAUAUUCUUUCACUAUGAUAUAUGUAGAAUUCAAAGAUUGUAUAUGGAGUAUUGUGAAUUGGAAUACAAGACAUGUGAUAAUAAGAUCGACCAAAAAAGUAACCAUGAUUAUAUAUUUCUUCUGGUUCACUAACGAGCCAUUCCAUGUUCUAUACUACACUGAGGGAUCUUAACUAUGGAUAAAGGGGUCUCGACGGUGUACAUAUAAUUCAUUGAAGGGUCUUGACCGUGUUCUAGAAUUAAUCAUGAGAGGUCUUGGAUAUCCACUUCCGUUUGCUAAACGAGCUUGAGGCCCGUUUCGAAAGUUCUUUGCACGAUGGGCAGUCUACGCUCAUAUGACCAGAUUACAGAUGUUAGACAAAAUGUACAUUUUUGGUAUAUUUUUCAGUACAUUUGAUAUGAUGAGAUUAUAAUAUGGAUAUCAAUUGAUAUUAAUAUCAUUAUUAUGAGAUGAUAUUUUAUAGUGUUAUGAGUAUGUUUCACUUUGGGCUAUAAAUGUGUGAUAUUAUCUUGUGAAUUAUUAAAUGAUAUGAACUUGAUAUUCAAUAAAAAUGUAUAAAUGAGAAAAUUUAAUUAUUUUCGAACUUCUCCAUUCACCGAGCCAUCAACUCAUAUAUUUUUUCAAGAUUUUCCCUACAGGCAGCAAUUAGUUCUUUAGGGCUUGAAGAACCUGAUGAUUUCAAAGUGAUAGUCACAUGAUGUAUUGAGUGAUAUGAUUCAUAUUGAUGAUGAAUAAAGUAAUUAAUUUGAGCCCAUUACAUUAUUUUUUUUUUCCAUAAGCAUCUUAUUUAACGUAUAUUUAGUAGUAAAUCAUAAUCAGCCUUGUUGGUGGAUUUGGUAUCUAUUCAGUAUCUAUCAUCGGCACCGUCACGUUUCUAAUCCACCAGGGUCGCAGAAAAGAGUGAAAAAUAGAUUUUAUUUUUAUUUUUUGGCAAAGAGCUAAACAAGAAAAAAUGGAGAGAAUGGCUUUGCAUAAGCAUAUAAAAUUGAGUGUAUUUUUUUGUAUUCCUUUUCUUCUCCUGUUGAUAUAGUGAGCAAUUGAUGUGAAUUUUUGGGCACAGGCAUAAUUGUCAAACCAUGUAAAUUCUUGUGUCGUACUUGCACUUAGUUUUUGCUAUUUUUUAUUUCUUCUCAUUUUAAAUUAUUUUACAUCAUAUUGAUGUUGGCAGAGUUAGUAGCCUCUAAUUCCUGACAACCGAUAUAAGAGUUUCAGAAUUUGAGUGGGAGUAAUGGUGACAAAUGAGAAGAUAUCCAAAAUCGAUAAGUUUGAUGGUACAAACUUUGGAUUUCGGAGAAUGCAAAUGGAGGGCUAUUUCUACCAGAAAGAUCUGUAUAAACAACUUCAUGAAAAGUUGAAGGACAUUGCAGAUGAUGAGCGGGAGUAACAUGAUUGAAAGGCUCUUUGCCUAUAAUGCUGAUAUUAUCCAAGUCGGUCGCUUUCAACAUAAAAAAAGAGAAAACAGCAUCUCUCAUGAUGACCCUAUCUUGCAUGUAUGAACGGCUGUUUGCAGCAAAUAAAGUUCAUUUAAUUAAAAAGUUGUUUACUAUGAAGAUGGCAGAAGGCGAAGGAUUUGGAGAACAGCUAAGCGACUUCAUUGAAGUGAUGGACCAACUAAACACAAUCAAAAUAGCUUUUAGUGAUGAGGUUCGAGCUUUAAUGAUUCUCGGGCAAUUACCCGAGAUUUAGAAUGGUCCAUUUACAUAAAUUAAUAGCUUUGUUGGAAAGUCUAAAUUGAAGUUUAAAGAUGUCUUGAGUAUUAUUUUGACUAAG